rnacentral:rRNA from 1 species
UACGGAGGGUGCAAGCGUUAUCCGGAAUCACUGGGCGUAAAGGGCGCGUAGGCGGCCUGUUAAGUCCGAUGUUAAAGACUGGGGCUCAACCCCAGCAUUGCGUUGGAUACUGGCAGGCUUGACGGUUGGAGAGGCGAGUGGAAUUACCAGUGUAGCGGUGAAAUGCGUAGAUACUGGUAGGAACACCCAUUGCGAAGGCAGCUCGCUGGACAACACGUGACGCUGAGGCGCGAAAGUGUGGGGAGCAAACCGGAUUAGAUACCCCGGUA